AGUGAACGCUGGCGGUAGGCCUAACACAUGCAAGUCGAACGGCAGCACAGUAAGAGCUUGCUCUUACGGGUGGCGAGUGGCGGACGGGUGAGGAAUACAUCGGAAUCUACUUUUUCGUGGGGGAUAACGUAGGGAAACUUACGCUAAUACCGCAUACGACCUACGGGUGAAAGCAGGGGAUCUUCGGACCUUGCGCGAUUGAAUGAGCCGAUGUCGGAUUAGCUAGUUGGCGGGGUAAAGGCCCACCAAGGCGACGAUCCGUAGCUGGUCUGAGAGGAUGACCAGCCACACUGGAACUGAGACACGGUCCAGACUCCUACGGGAGGCAGCAGUGGGGAAUAUUGGACAAUGGGCGCAAGCCUGAUCCAGCCAUACCGCGUGGGUGAAGAAGGCCUUCGGGUUGUAAAGCCCUUUUGUUGGGAAAGAAAAGCAGCAGGUUAAUACCCCACUGUUCUGACGGUACCCAAAGAAUAAGCACCGGCUAACUUCGU
rnacentral:rRNA from 1 species